rnacentral:rRNA from 1 species
GACGAACGCUGGCGGCGUGCUUAACACAUGCAAGUCGAACGGAAAGGCCCUGCUUUUGUGGGGUGCUCGAGUGGCGAACGGGUGAGUAACACGUGAGUAACCUGCCCUUGACUUUGGGAUAACUUCAGGAAACUGGGGCUAAUACCGGAUAGGAGCUCCUGCUGCAUGGUGGGGGUUGGAAAGUUUCGGCGGUUGGGGAUGGACUCGCGGCUUAUCAGCUUGUUGGUGGGGUAGUGGCUUACCAAGGCUUUGACGGGUAGCCGGCCUGAGAGGGUGACCGGCCACCUUGGGCCUGAGAUACGGCGCAGACUCCUACGGGAGGCAGCAGGGGGGAGUAUUGCAGAAUGGGCGGAAGCCUGAUGCAGCAACGCCGCGUGCGGGAUGACGGCCUUCGGGUUGUAAACCGCUUUCGCCUGUGACGAAGCGUGAGUGACGGUAAUGGGUAAAGAAGCACCGGCUAACUACGUG